UCAGCCUGCUUACUCUCUAACAGAUGAAUUCCAAGGCCUUUGCAGCAUUCACACUUCCCAAAAACUAAUUCCUUAAAAGUUUGAGCUAAGUGAGAUCAGUAUUUAGAGGAAAAUAAUUCACAAUCCUAGAGUCACAGGUUCAGGUUUUAGACAAAAUUGCCAUGUAGGUGAGCAUGCACAAAAAUUGUUUCCUCCAAUAAUCAAAGAAACUCCAUCUAGCUUCAUUACAGACUGUGAUGUCUUGCAUUAACUGCCCUUGGUCCUUCUACUGACAUCAGAAAGUGAAAGGAAAAAAGAAAAUAUAUAUAAGCAUGUAGAAGUUUGGGGACUUUGAUGAGCAAAAUGCAUUUCUGAGGGGUUUUUUUUUGAGAUAGAACACUAGCUCAGACUGUUACAGAGGAACUACGUUAAAAAAGGCUGUUCGUUGUCCAAGCAUGGUGUCACAAGUGAAGGCGACAAGGAGCCAGUGAAGUUUGGUGUGGUUAUCAGAGCUGGAAAGCACUUUGGAAGAAUUUAGAAGAUUAAAAAACAAAAUCUUUAAAACCAAAUUUCUGCUCUCCCCUAGAACCAGAAGAAACCGUCUAUGGACUCCAGAGUAGCAGCUGGUGUCCAAUUGAUUCAGAACUGACCUGUGUGCUUCACAUACUUCACUUGACCUGCAGCCAGCAUUAACCACAAAGCUGAAUAUUAAAUGAUGGUGAGUAUUUUACCUCGUUAGAGUACUCUCAUGAUGAAUUGUUCUAGUUUGGACACAGACUGCCCCUCCUGUUGCAAGAGAGCAGCUUAACACAGGCGGUAACCCACCGGGGUGCUUGUCAGUUCCAAUUACAUUUGUCAGCUUAGAGAAGUGUGGUUGGUAAACUUAGGUAAAAACAUUUAAAAAGUUCUUACCUGACACACAUUAUUUAACAAAUUAUCAUCUCCAUCCGUGCUUUGCUUUUUUCCUUCCGUUGUAUUCAGGUUACACUGUAGUAGUGCCGCUGAAAGUUCAUUUCUUUCCUGAUCGAUUCCCCUAGGUUUUUCCCCAAGUACAGUAUUUACAGUGCAAAUACAUCAAGGAGAUAUUUAAAAGCUGCUCAAUAUUUUUUCUAGACAAGUGGUUGUAACAAAUAAAG